rnacentral:rRNA from 2 species
AAGGAUCAUUACUGUGAUUUAGUACUACACUGCGUGAGCGGAACGAAAACAACAACACCUAAAAUGUGGAAUAUAGCAUAUAGUCGACAAGAGAAAUCUACGAAAAAACAAACAAAACUUUCAACAACGGAUCUCUUGGUUCUCGCAUCGAUGAAGAGCGCAGCGAAAUGCGAUACCUAGUGUGAAUUGCAGCCAUCGUGAAUCAUCGAGUUCUUGAACGCACAUUGCGCCCCUCGGCAUUCCGGGGGGCAUGCCUGUUUGAGCGUCGUUUCCAUCUUGCGCGUGCGCAGAGUUGGGGGAGCGGAGCGGACGACGUGUAAAGAGCGUCGGAGCUGCGACUCGCCUGAAAGGGAGCGAAGCUGGCCGAGCGAACUAGACUUUUUUUCAGGGACGCUUGGCGGCCGAGAGCGAGUGUUGCGAGACAACAAAAAGCUCGACCUCAAAUCAGGUAGGAAUACCCGCUGAACUUAA